CAGCCGCCGCGGUAAUACAGAGGAUGCAAGCGUUAUCCGGAAUGAUUGGGCGUAAAGCGUCUGUAGGUGGCUUUUCAAGUCCGCCGUCAAAUCCCAGGGCUCAACCCUGGACAGGCGGUGGAAACUACCAAGCUGGAGUACGGUAGGGGCAGAGGGAAUUUCCAGUGGAGCGGUGAAAUGCGUUGAGAUCGAAAAGAACACCAACGGCGAAAGCACUCUGCUGGGCCGACACUGACACUGAGAGACGAAAGCUAGGGGAGCAAAUGGGAUUAGAUACCCCGGUAGUCCCUGUCUCUUAUAC
rnacentral:rRNA from 1 species